CCUGACCUCAGGUGAUCCACCCACCUCGGCCUCCCAAAGUGCUGUGAUUACAGGCAUGAGCCACCGCGCCCGGCCUGCCUUUCUUUCUUUUUUGAGAGGCAGCCUAGCUGUGUAGCCCAGGCAGGAGUGCGGUGGCACAAUCUCUGAUCACUGCAACCUCUGCCUCCUGGGUUCAAGCAAUUCUCCCGCCUCGGCCUCUUGAGUAGCUGGGAUUACAGACAUGCGCCACCACACCUGGCUAAUUGUUUUGUAUUUUUAGUAGAGACAGGGUUUCACCAUAUUGUCAGGCUGGUCUUCAACUCCUGACCUUGUGAUCCACCCACCUUGGCCUCCCAAAGUGCUGAGAUUACAGGCAUGAGCAGCCUGCCUUUUCAUUCACAGCACAGUGCCACAAGUUUUGAAAUACUUACCAUCUAGGCAAGGUGGCUCACAUCUGUAAUCCAAGCACUUUGGGAGGCCGAGGAGGGCGGAUCACCUGAGGUCACGAGUUCGAGACCAGCCUGGCCAACAUGGUGAAACCCCCAUCUCUACUAAAGAUACAAAAACUAAGCGGGUGUGGUGGCGCAUGCCUGUAGUCCCAGCUACUUGGGAGGCUGAGGCAGGAGAAUCGCUUGAACCCGGGAGGCAGAGGUUACAAUGAGCUGAGAUCGUACCACUGCACUCCAGCCUGGGUGACAGAGCAAGACUCUGUCUCAAACAAACAAAACCAAGAAACAAAAAACAUUUACCUGCAAUUCUCCACUCUUGAAAAAAUAGCCCUUCCGCAUGGGUCACCUCCUUCACUGCUCUGAAGUCUGUCCUUUUAACCCACCCCAAAUCUUCCUGUUUGACCCAUCAAGUCUCAGAGACAGCCUUCACUCAUGCCAAGCAUGGGCAGUCACCUUGCAAAGCACUCAGGGUCCACAUUUUGGCAGCAGUCAUUAACGAUCGACCAGUUCAAUUGUUUGCGGUCAGUUUGUGGCAGUUUCGGCCGGGCGUGGUGGCUCACACCGGUAAUCCCAGCACUUUGGGAG
rnacentral:lncRNA from 1 species